rnacentral:lncRNA from 1 species
GGAGCCGCCGGUGUCCCGGCGGCGGUGACACGCCACGCGCGCCGCUGCGCGCUCCCUCGCUCGCUCGAGACUUGGGUUUGUCCAGCCGCUUUCCCCGGGCUCGGCAGGUGGUAGAUGAAACGUGCUUCGUUUGCUUCGCGCCCCGUCCAGCUCGUCCCUUCGCGCAGAGCCACCGGCGUUUCCGUGGACUCGUUAACCUCGCCGUCACCUCAGGUGGUCGGGGGGAGACUUGAGGGCUCGCAAAAGUCCGCGUGACUUGUUCGAAGUACUUGGUGCUAGCAAAAAAGACGAGGAUUGCUGGGAAACCGCGAUGCUUUGCAGGGGCCUCAUAGGAUUUAGCUGUUGGAGCCACUGGAUUUCUGCUUUGUCUGUAGCGUGGUUCUGCCCUUGGACAAGUCAACACUGUUCUGUGGCACUGGCUUCACCAGGACAAAAGUUAGGGUGUGAACAAAAGUGGUCCUUGGGCUGA